UUAACGCACUGCCCAAAUAGCUUUUAAAAUCUUUUACAUUUCCAUUAUUUUCCAUUCAAUUUUUAUGUGCCUCAGCAGAGUCCUGUUUAGACUUUUAAACAGCUUGUUACACGGAAACCCCACUAAAACAAGAAAGCCCCUCUUUCUGCAUUUAUUAUUGUCAAUCACCUGCUAAAUGGUUAAGGAAAAAAAAAACCAAUUUAUUUGUAGAAUUAGGAUUUGUUUUUGCAAAUUAUUUUUUCACUUGACCCUAUCAUAAAAAAUAUAUAUAUAUACAGUUAAGCAGGCUUUCAAAUGUUUAGAGGGGUGAAGGCAAAAGAAAAAUCAGCAAAGAAUAAAAAUCCUUGAAAAUUUAUGCAGGAAUGAAUAUCCUCAGAAAUGUGUUAUCAGCCAAACUCUUUUUUGAUAACAAACAAAAGGAUUUUGCACAUACACGCUGUUACGGAUUCCUGUGAUUAGCUGUUAUAUAAAUCUAAGAUUGUUUUUCUGUUCCUAUUGUCUCCGAGCUUUUUGUGACUCUGUAAGUUGUAGACACUGAUAGAAAUGUGAGGAGUCUUACCAGGCGCAAGUGAAUUUUGGCUGGUGGAGAUGCAAUAGAUUUUCCUGCCCCACCCCACUCCCACAGAAAACACCCAUUUUGCAGUAAAUUCAUUUCAGCAUUUCCAGUGGAGCCAAACCUCCACCUUACUUUAUCUAUGCAUCCCUGAGAAAAAUCAUCUCCUACUAGCAAAGACUAAUGGAUAGGCUGAGAGACAGAAACUUGACCAGAAGAUUACAUCAGCACAACGGUGACGAAACGCUCCAGGGGUAAGGGACAGAUUGUUGGAAAGAGCUUGGUCCAAAAGUCUGGAAAUUUGGCCUCUAUUUUAGGCUUUGCCACAGACUGGCUCUGCCAGAAGUAUGCCGUGCAACCUCUAAAGCAGUAUCCUAAAAGGGAUACAGCAUGAUAUCGCUUUAGGACGCAGCAUGAUAGUCCCCUCUCCUUUUCCAUGUCUGCUAGCAGGAAGGCUUUUAUGCUGGCUGGAGCUACAGCAGCCAUUUUUUUCCUCUAGGUGAUGUUGGAAAUGGAAGGUAAAAGCAAAAUAGAGUGUAGAUUCCACCUCUGGACUUACAUGUGGAAAAUAAAUGAAUUUGAGAGACAAAUAAAUUUCUAUCUUUCUUAAACUAUUAUUAUUUUAAUCUUUCUGUUGCUGAGAGCUGACUUGAAUCCUAAUAAAGAAAUAUAAUCAUACUCUGACUGUAACUUCUGGAUUUGGAAUCAGGAGAAUUUGGUUCUAAUCCCAUUGCAGUGUUUUUUGAGGCCAAUUACUUCACCUUGCAAAUAAAGAAAUAUAAUCAUGCUCUGACUGUAACUUCUGGAUUUGGAAUCAGGAGAAUUUGGUUCUAAUCCCAUUGCAGUGUUUUUUGAGGCCAAUUACUUCGCCUUGCAGUCUUUCAUUUUCAGUAAUAGAAUACCUUAUUUUUCUGAAAAGGUUACUGUGCUGAUUAAUUGAGAUCAGCAAUGUUCAGGCAUUUUGAAAGAAAGAAAAGAAAGAACACAUUUUAUAAAUACGAGGUGCCACCUCCCCCAGUGGCACUCAGAUCUCUGAAAGGGGAAAACCAACUGCAUCUUUUGACCACACAUUCACCCAUGAUUUUAUUGACAAAGGAAAAAAAGGAAUCAUCUAGAAACAUUUUAGGUGGAAUCUAUGAAAAAGCUUUGCCUGUACAUAACUCUUGUCCUUCUGACUUAAAAGCAAACAAAAUAAUCCAAAAUGCAAACAGCAGGAAGGCCAGUGUCUUAUACAGAGAGAAGAAAAAUCCUUACAUGGAACAAUUCUAUCUACUCACUGGGUUGGAAAAACAGAGAAACAAAUGAUUAGAGGUUUCUUCACUCUCCCAGGAAAAGUAGGCAGGUCCUCUGAGAAGGAAUCAUCCACUCCUUCUGACUUGCCCAUGUAUGUCUGCAAGCCUCAAAGUGCCUGAUGGCACAGUGACUGUGGUGGGCUGUUUCUUUCUGAGAAAAUCUGGCACGUGUCACAAACGUGGGAUGUCAAAGGCAGAUAUCUCCUGGUGGCAUGUGGCUGCCUGUGUCCCUCUGCUUCAGGCAGAAUGUGAGUCUGAAUUUGACUCCAGGGGGUUGUCUGUGCCACCAGGGGCAGAGGGACAGACUGCCUCCCAGGCUCCUCCAGCAAAACAUGCUGGAAGUUUCCCAAGUGGCAUCAUUAGUAUAAAUUCACUGUGUCGUAUGACUCUGGCUCUGAUCACAGACUCUUUCCCUUCUGACUUUGACCCAUAAAGACUUUGGCAGGAUUAUUAGAGAAAGUCUAGUCAAUUAGAGAGGUAGAACUCAUCAUCUGAAAGCUACAGGAUAACCGGGUUAUGACUCUAAGCUCCGAGUGGGUGGAGGUCUCAUCACACACAAGUCAUUAAUAUAUUGUAGUAAGUGGAAGUAAGAAUGUCCUCGCAUGUGUUUCCUGGUGAAGUGAGAACCCAUGUCUGAUGUAGUUGCUUAACCUGGAGUCCUAGAAAAUUCCUAUGCUUACCAGCUAUUAACUGUGGAAUCUCAGACAGGUUAUAUGGCUUUUCUGUGCCUUGAUACUCCUAUCUGAAAAAAAAUGGGGAUAUUAAUAAUGCCAAUUAAUAACUUAAAUGACAUUAGAACCAUAUCUGGGUUCACCUAUUAGGUCCUACUAAGUAUGAAGCAUAAGGACCACUAACAUUAUUAGCAGAAAGCAACCAGCGACAACUCCCAGCCAUCUGAGUAACUUAGGCCUUCCUGUGAAAAUCCACAGGGUUUAUGGGAAUACCUUACCUGCAGGGCCUGAUAAAAGUGUAUCCUGGAGAUCAAGUAUGGCUACGGUCCUUCCAUUUCAUACACUUCUGAUAAGACUGUGCAAUUCAUCAUCUGGACUAGGAUACUUGGCCGUGCAAGGGGUUGCUUUAAUAAUCACAGCAGGGCAAGUGAUGUCACCUGGGCAUGAACACUGGUUUGUUCUCAAAGUCAGCGUCGUUUUGCCAAAAAAAAAUUGACAAAACCAAAUUUUUCUAUGUACCCAAAGCUUUAAAAAUUCAAAAUCCUGACUUAGUUGGAUGGAUAUAAGUUUUACUUUAAUGUAUUUGGAACAACUGGUUAUGUAAGCUUGAAUCAUCAGGACUGUAAAUCUGACAAUUAUAUUCCAUGCACGCCAUCGAUAAAGGUUCUAAUUUAAGAAACAACAAAUCCAACUCUCUCAAAAAAGAACAAAUUGAUCUGCAUCAUAAUUUAACUAACA